GAUGAACGCUGGCGGCGUGCCUAAUACAUGCAAGUCGAGCGAACAGACGAGGAGCUUGCUCCUCUGACGUUAGCGGCGGACGGGUGAGUAACACGUGGAUAACCUACCUAUAAGACUGGGAUAACUUCGGGAAACCGGAGCUAAUACCGGAUAAUAUAUUGAACCGCAUGGUUCAAUAGUGAAAGACGGUUUUGCUGUCACUUAUAGAUGGAUCCGCGCCGCAUUAGCUAGUUGGUAAGGUAACGGCUUACCAAGGCGACGAUGCGUAGCCGACCUGAGAGGGGGAUCGCCCACACUGGAACGGAGACACGGACCAGACUCCUACGGGAGGCAGCAGUAGGGAAUCUUCCGCAAUGGGCGAAAGCCUGACGGAGCAACGCCGCGUGAGUGAUGAAGGUCUUCGGAGCGUAAAACUCUGUUAUUAGGGAAGAACAAAUGUGUAAGUAACUAUGCACGUCUUGACGGUACCUAAUCAGAAAGCCACGGCUAACUACGUG
rnacentral:rRNA from 1 species